CUCCCUUGAUUCUUGGAUCUUAAGGAUGGGAAAUUGGAGGUCAUGGCACAAUUCAGCAGCAAGAGUAUUAGUGCAGCCCAGGUCCUGUGGUUUGGGCCAGGCAUCUCUCCAUUGCCAGAGGUUGCCUUCAGAAGUCUGAAUGGGACACAUAGCCCAUUUUCAGGCCUUGAGAAUUCCUGUGAGAAUUUCAAGCAAGCUUUUGUUUCAACAGCUCACAUGUGCAAGGGCCACCAAGAGUUUAGUAAUGUAAAUAGAUAACAUGUCAUCAUUUAGCCAAGGAAUCACAUUAUGAGCAUAUUCAAACCACAUUCAAAAGGACACCAGAUUUCCUUGAAACAUCUGUGGAUAAAGGAAGAAAAAUCAUGGUGGAUGUGUAGCCAGCCUCCAACAUGGGCUCCAAUGAUUCCUGCCUCUUGGUAUUCAAGUCCUUGUGCAGUUUCCUCCUACAAUGUAUCAUAAUUGGUCUUUGUGACCAAGAGAAUACAGCAGAAGUGAUGGCAUGUCACUUCUGAAGCUAGGUCAUAAAAGGUACUGUGGCUUUGUGGUAUAAUAAGAAAGACAUUCUAUCUUUGUCCAUAGUGCCUGGCACAGAACUCCUGUUGAGGAACCCCUGUUCCCUCAAACCCCUGGAACACCACACAGAGAACUAUCUCCAGGCCUGGACUUCCCCUGACUUGGAGACAGCCUUAUUCUCAGAUCUCUCUCUCUUUUAAAAUGGACUAUCCUCUUUACAACCCAGAGAGCCCCAUCCAAAUAUCACUCAUUGUGGAAGAAAUCUGAUGCCAUGUCUUGAGGACACUCAAGUGGCCUAUGGAGAGGCGAACAUAAAGACAAGAAACCCAAUCUCAAGCACUAUGAGACUCCCUCCUCUCCAUCUCCAAGGGUCAGGCCAUGGUCUUAGUCAUUGCCAAGAGCAUCACAGAAGGCCUCUGCCUCCGGUUCCUACCUGGGCCCUUUCUAUGCUCGUUAACUGAUGCUGCAGCCUGACUUCUUCAAGACUAAGUUGGGCUGUAUGCUUGCAGUCAUGGGAGGAAAACAAAAGAGGAUGAGGAACUUGGACUCAGCUAGCUUUGGCGACUUGUUGAGAAAGUCAGAACCAGUUAGUUGUGGAAUAUAAAAUUGAGCUCGGCUCUCUUCCUACCUAGUCUUUUCUCUGCUCCGCUCCCACACUUCAGUGAGAGUUGCUUUCCUGAAGGAGUAAGUUCUAAAGCAGGAUUGGAAGUUCCUAUAGGGACAAAGAGAAGAGGCAUCCAUGAGUGGCAAGGAGUGUGAAAGGGAUGAAAAACACAUAGGAAGAAAUGGAGACAGGCAGAAGGUCCCAGCUACAGGACAGAAAAGCCAGGGUGUGGGCUUCUGAGAGAUGAUGCUGAGUGCAUGAGCUGGACUUGUGGAAUACAUACAGAAGAUGCCUCCAAUUACUGAGAGGUUAAGAAGAACAUUAUAUUGCCUCACAAAUCCUGUUUGUUACUGUAUAGAAUUGUAAGAAUUAUGGAAGAAACUGAAGGAAUUACUCCUCUAAAGCAGAUACUCCUGGAAAGUUACACAACUUGGCUAAUACUCUCCUGCUAGAGUUGGACAGGAAGACCUUACCAAAGCUGAAAGAUAAGAGAAACAUUUGUUUGGGCUGAGGCAGCUGUUUCAUGAAAUGCAACAUCAUAUCUCAUUUUUCUUCAUGAACUUCUCUCAUUUAACAAUUAGGCUGGAAGAACACACAUUACCAAUAGGUUCAGUCGUAUAACACUCAGAACCUGGAAAUAAUGAGUUGGAAGUUUCAGAUCCUACAAAAUAAAUCAGUUACUCCAUCAAUUCUAUAAUAUAAGGCAAAGAAUCUGAAAAUUGAAGGAAGAUAUUUUGAACAACACUGUGCAAAAGCUAUUGCUGAGUUAGGUAUUCAGUUAAGCCAAACACCACGCCUGGUUCUCAGUUUGUUUUGCAAAAGCAUUUAUUCUACAUUUUAAAUAUGCACAUGUUUCAACUUGGGCUAGAAAGACUUAACUAAAAAUAACACCACUAUCACCAAGUGAUGCUAUGGUUGACCGAUACUCCAGGAUUUGAAAAAAAAAUUCCCCAAAUGGUACAAAUUCCCCAAAUGCUACAAAUUCCCUAGGAACUGGAAGCUUUUCCUCUCCUUAAGGUGAAAGACUGCUUCUCCUCUUGGUGUUUUGCCAUUAAAAAAAGAAAGUAUUUAGCAAACAACUAGCAGAUCCAUCAAAAGGUUAGGAUUCUUUUUAUUUUAGUGCUCUUUCUUAAUGGGCAAAAUUGAUUGAUUAGUUCACCUGGAAUGUUCUUAGCCUUAGGGCAGAAACAGAGCUUUGUAUGCAUUAGUGGACUGGGUUUAUAAAAGAAAAAAGUCCACAUUCAAGAAUACAGAGAAUUUCAAAAAUACAAGAAAAUAGAAAAAAGAAAAACAAGGUCUGGAAGCAUAUUAAAAUUCUUGUAUUCAUUAAAAAUCAAAUGGCUGUGUUUUCAGUUGUAUUGAGUUAUCAUAUGUGCACUGGUUCUUU
rnacentral:lncRNA from 1 species